UACGUAGGGUGCGAGCGUUAAUCGGAAUUACUGGGCGUAAAGCGUGCGCAGGCGGUUUUGUAAGUCAGAUGUGAAAUCCCCGGGCUCAACCUGGGAACUGCGUUUGAAACUACAAGGCUAGAGUGUAGCAGAGGGGGGUAGAAUUCCACGUGUAGCAGUGAAAUGCGUAGAGAUGUGGAGGAAUACCAAUGGCGAAGGCAGCCCCCUGGGUUA
rnacentral:rRNA from 1 species